rnacentral:rRNA from 1 species
CCUACGGGAGGCAGCAGUGGGGGAUAUUGCACAAUGGGGGGAACCCUGAUGCAGCGACGCCGCGUGGGUGAAGAAGCGCCUCGGCGCGUAAAGCCCUGUCAGCAGGGAAGAAAAUGACGGUACCUGAAGAAGAAGCCCCGGCUAACUACGUGCCAGCAGCCGCGGUAAUACGUAGGGGGCAAGCGUUAUCCGGAUUUACUGGGUGUAAAGGGGGCGCAGACGGCGAUGCAAGCCAGGAGUGAAAGCCCGGGGCCCAACCCCGGGACUGCUCUUGGAACUGCGUGGCUGGAGUGCAGGAGGGGCAGGCGGAAUUCCUGGUGUAGCGGUGAAAUGCGUAGAUAUCAGGAGGAACACCGGUGGCGAAGGCGGCCUGUUGGACUGCAACUGACGUUGAGGCCCGAAAGCGUGGGUAGCAAACAGGAUUAGAUACCCCUGUAGUC